rnacentral:lncRNA from 1 species
GAGAAAAUGCCUUAUAUUUAAUCCUUUCCAUCAUCCUAUGGGGUGAUGGGCAUCAAGGUCUUUCCAAGAUUGCUCACAGCCUGUAGGCUUUCAUCAUAGCAUUCUAGUUUCAACUGAGGUGCAAGUGUUAGAUUGAAAUUUCAUGAAGGAGAUUGUUUGGAUGAUAAUCUGAAUGUUGAGUGGAUUUCUUGAGCUUUGUGACCCAGAAGGCUCAGUUGUUUCCUGCAAGGGUUGAAAUCAGGCCAACUGACUACAAAACGGGAAAGCCCCCGACGUCCUCCCCAGGGGAGCCCAAAGCACUGCCAGGUGUAGGCUGCUCAGUCAGCGUUAAGGUUGCUGGCGGAGUGGCUGGAUAUGCUAGCUAGACGCCAAGCACCUCUGAUGGCCGCAGGCUGCUGUACCCCAUCCCAAUCCCACCACUGCCCCAGAUCCUGCUACAAGAGUGAGGGGGAUCCUUACUCUCCAGCCAGUAAAGCAGGGGGCAACAGAGCUGGUCUUUAUUUUAUUCCUAUGAGGCCUGUCUGCUGUUCUGUGGCUUGUGAAUUGUUAAGAAUGGUGCAGCAAGAUCAACGGGAGGGCUUAUCAAUCAGCAGUCUUCACCACUUACAUGGGAGACUUUUCAAUGAAAUUUAGGAAAUGGAACCCAGAUUAUCUCCUCUCCCUCCCAAGACCUCACUAUAUCAAGGCUAAAGAGAUCUUAAAAGAAAAAGGCAUAAACUUGUAAGAAAAAGAAUAGAAGGGAAAACAAAAAUAAAAUUUUCAACCCUAGAAAACAGACUCAGUGUUCAUUGCUUUGAUAGACCUGGGCAAACAGAACCCUAAGCUGGCAAAGGAAGGUUGGAGAAGCAACCCAUUUGACAU